CAUGCUGAUAAGAAAAGGAAGACCAACUUUUAGUUGGUUUUAGUAAACUUUUUAAAUUCUUUAUAGACAAUGCAUCCCUUUAAUCUCUGUACUUUUAAGUGGACCAUUCCCACUGCCCCCAGCCUUGGUACACCACUUCCUCACAGCAUGGCUGUUUCCAGAGAGUUGGACUUUUUGCCUCAUGACUAGCCUCCCCCAGAGCCUUCCAGGAAGAAAGGCAAAAUCUGUGAGCCUUCUUAUGACCUAGCCUCAGAAGCCACAGAGCAUUGCAUCCCCUGCACUCUGUGGGGGCAAAAGCAAGUUGGAGGACCAUCCUGGAUUCAUGGGGAGAAGACCAAACAAGUGUGAGUGCUGGAAAGGAGACUUCCCUGUGGGCCAGCUUUGGAGAUGAGUGACCACAUUCUCCAUUACCAUUUGCUCCACGUGGUUCAGAACCACAUGAUUAUUUAACCAAAGCUCGGGUUGACUACACUUCAACUAACUGGAACCUACUGUAACGGCCCAGACCAUAAGAAAUUGGCAGCUUCGACUUUAUAUCUCUUGGAACACUCACUCAUGGAAUCCAGCCACCAUCCUGUGAGGAAGCCUAAGCAGGCCCACAGAAAGCCCCUUGUCGAGAAGAACCAAGGACCGUGGCCAACAGCCUCCAUCCGGUUCCCAGCUGACAGCCAACACCAAGUUGCCAGCCAUGUGAGCCCUGUUGGAAGUGAAUCCCCCAGCCUCAGUCUACAGCUGACACCAGUUAGAAGCAGCAUUCCAACAAGAAGAUCCACAAGAUGAAUUUGCAAAUAGCAGUUUCCAAACUUUUGAAUUGUUCAACCUGAGCAACAGUUCCAUCUCCAUGAAUACUUCACAUAUUGUUUAUCCUGCUCUUAAAUGUUACCUGAUUCUGCUACUACAAAUCAAUCAAAGAACUGGUGAUUUGUCUUGGGGUCUUAAAUUAAUUUUGAGCAGCUCUGCAAGCUGU
rnacentral:lncRNA from 1 species